rnacentral:rRNA from 1 species
AUUGAACGCUGGCGGCAUGCUUUACACAUGCAAGUCGAACGGCAGCGCGGGCUUCGGCCUGGCGGCGAGUGGCGAACGGGUGAGUAAUGCAUCGGAACGUGCCCAGUAGUGGGGGAUAGCCCGGCGAAAGCCGGAUUAAUACCGCAUACAACCUGCGGGUGAAAGCGGGGGACCGAAAGGCCUCGCGCUAUUGGAGCGGCCGAUGUCUGAUUAGCUAGUUGGUGGGGUAAAGGCUUACCAAGGCGACGAUCCGUAGCUGGUCUGAGAGGACGACCAGCCACACUGGGACUGAGACACGGCCCAGACUCCUACGGGAGGCAGCAGUGGGGAAUUUUGGACAAUGGGGGCAACCCUGAUCCAGCCAUGCCGCGUGCGGGAAGAAGGCCUUCGGGUUGUAAACCGCUUUUGUUCGGGAAGAAAUCCUCUGGGCUAAUACCCCGGGGGGAUGACGGUACCGGAAGAAUAAGCACCGGCUAACUACGUG